UUUUUUGGACAAAAAAAAUGCAUUCACAAAUGUACUUUGUUUGGUAAGAAAGUAUUUUUAAAAUAUUAACAAGUAUCCGAAAUUUAUAAAAAUUAAAAUUCACUUUUUUUCUGGGUUAACAAACUGGUUAACCAGUUUGCGAGAACAAUAUUCUGGAGUUAGCAAACUGGUUAACAAGUUUCUCUCGCUUUCUCGCAGCAAUCUCUCUCUCAUCCGUUAUAAAUCUCUCGCCUCUCCUCUGCAAUGAGAUGUUUUGAGAAGACGAAAAGACCAAAGGCCUCUGUUUCAGUGCUUGCCGGACCACUCUAACCACAUGAAGAUAACGCUCACAGUGGGUUUCUGUCCGCAAUCGACGAAGUUCUUGUUGUGAUUGCAGGUGUCAAUGGCAACAAUUAUCACGUGUGAGCAUUGCUAGGCUUCACUAUGGAUGGAUCAACCCGGACAAGAAUUGGAAGAUGAGGACAUUUCUGAGGUAGGGCUAGAUGGACGACCUAUUUGGGAUGAUGAAAGUGAAGAUAUUUUUCCGAACGGUCUUUGGAUUUUUAUUAAUGCUUUAAAGUUUGUGUGGUAUGGAACUACGUUUGAUGUUAUUUAUGUAUGGGAACAUUUCUAUGUUUAACUAUGGAUGGGUGUUAUAUUUAAAUGUUAUUAUAUGACUCUGUCCAUUGAUGUUA